UAUUAAAGGAACAGAGGAAGUAGUAAAAAGGAAGCUCGCAAUUCACUUCACCGCCGACUCCGACUCGCCCGUCUCCAGUUGCGCUUCAGGACCCUAAGCUCUUUGCAUUUGCCUAUAUUCCUGGGAAUUUCACCGUCAAGUUGGUUCCAAUAGACGGUGAGUCCUCUUAAUCUUGGAGUAUUACUGCAUAUGUUGUUUGGGAGCUUUCCUGAAAGCAUAUUAUAUCCAAUAUUGACUGUGAUCAACGAAGAAAUGUUGAAGAUAGUAUACGGUAUGGACCCACUCAACUGAUUACUUUCUAAAGUAACUCCUUUUAGUGAAGAAAGGUCACCAAUCUCUGGUGGGAUGUUUCCAUCGAGAUUAUUGAAGCUCAUAUUCAAACGUUGAAGCCUCGAAAUAUUAAAUAAAGAAGAAGGGAUUCUUCCUGAGAAGCUGUUGUUGGACAAAUUCAUGUGUUGUAGCUGGGAUAAGGCUCCGAACCACGAUGGUAUCUCUCCAGAGAAGUUGUUAGCUGCAACGUUUAUCUGUUCUAAACGGCGCAGCUUAGACAGUUGAGGCGGUAAGACGCCUGUGAAACUGUUGAAGCUGAUGUCUAAAACUUGAAGAAACGAUAAGUUUCCAAGAUGUGGAGGGAUCGUACCAUGGAGCUCAAAGGUGGAGAGGUUUAGAGCGGUAACCCUUUGGUGUUUGGUGCCACAAGAGACACCAAUCCAUCCACAAAUGGGAGUGUGAAUUGACCAAUUUUUGUGCAAGAUUGCAUUAGGGUCGGAAACAAUGGAGUUUUUUAAGACUGUGAGAGCGUAUUCAUCGGUGGUGAGAUUGAAGAGUGGUGUGGAAGAGAUGAGGGAAAAGUAGUUUGAUAUCAACAUUAAAACACCAACAUAAAACAAGUAAAUCUCCAUGGAUGGUUUCAUGUACUAGUUCUAUUUGGUAUAACAAUUGUGGGUAUGUAAAUGAAUGGUUUAUACUCCAUAUAUAUAAGGAGAGGUUCAAAUUAA